UACGUAGGGGGCAAGCGUUGUCCGGAUUUAUUGGGCGUAAAGAGCUCGUAGGCGGCUUGGUCAGUCGGAUGUGAAAUCUCCAGGCUCAACCUGGAGCGGCCAUUCGAUACUGCCAUGGCUAGAGUCCGGUAGAGGAUCAUGGAAUUCCUGGUGUAGCGGUGAAAUGCUUUGAUAUCAGGAAGAACACCAGUAGCGAAGGCGGUGAUCUGGGCCGGUACUGACGCUGAGGAGCGAAAGCGUGGGGAGCGAACAGG
rnacentral:rRNA from 1 species